GCCAAAGAGCAGAUCACACAUUUUGCCUGAAGCUACAGAAUCUACUUCCACAGCAAAGAAACAGCAGAAAAGAGGAGAUAUUCUUAAAAUCUUGACAAAUGAAGAUGUACACUAACCUGAAGGAUGCACAAUGAAUGUGGAAGGAAAUGCAACAGAGUCCAUUUUCAAGGAAGGAAUGGGUGGAUCUUCUUUGAAGUAGCUCACAGAGACCAACCUAUACCCAAGAAGAUUUGGAAUGCAGUUGUUGCCCUAGGUAAAGCUCCAUACCACCCCUUGCACUACAUGUACGCCACGAGAAACAUGAAAACACCACUCAGUCUGUCCUAAAAACAGGAUCAAAAUCAACCACAAACCCCUACUAAAGGACCAAGGACUCACUCAACAAGGCUCUUCGCAAAAUAAAGGCUUCAGAGACUGGUGUCUUCCCAUCCAACUUGAAACUCUGCUCAAGUUUGAUCCAAAAUGGGUGUCAG